CCUAAGACUCGAUUCAGCGAGCUGCGACACCUACUGCUAGGACGUUGAACACAUUGUCCACUUUCCUUUGACACAGCUGGUGUCCUCUUUUGUAAGACCAUGUUCAGAUGGUAAUCCUUAACCCCUAGUUAGGCGAACUACGACAACUCUGAUUCUCAUGUUCAGAUGAGAUACGUAGGCACAAGACACGAUAUCUUGCCGAGUUUUUGACUAACGACUAACAACUAAUCCUUGUUUGCUUUCGC
rnacentral:lncRNA from 1 species